AAACAUAUACACAUGUAUACAUUAAAUAUACACUUCUAUAGAAGAUAUAUGCACAAAUAUACAAAACAUAUGCUACUUAAUAUAAUAAAUUAAUAAUAUUUGGUAGUAAAUUAAUAAUAUAUUAGAAGUAAGUUUUUAAUUUAAAGUAGAAAACUAGAAAUUCAAUUUAAAAUUUUAAAUCGUUAAAUGAAAAAAUAUAAAAAGCAAGGACUAAGGAGUGAAUGAAUUUGGGAAAUUUUAUUGAUUGCAAAAUGAUCCAAAAUUUAUAAUUUACAUGAAUGAAAAAUCUACAAAUUAUGCAUCAUUUUUUCCAACUCAUUCAUGUUAAUAUUAAUGGGAACUUGCAUAGGAUAGUCAAAGUUAACGGGGGAAAAACCAUGCAUUGGACUUGAUUCUG
rnacentral:lncRNA from 1 species